CCUACGGGAGGCAGCAGUGGGGAAUAUUGGACAAUGGGGGCAACCCUGAUCCAGCCAUGCCGCGUGUGUGAAGAAGGCCCUCGGGUUGUAAAGCACUUUCAGUGAGGAAGAACGCCUGGUGGUUAAUACCCAUCAGGAAAGACAUCACUCACAGAAGAAGCACCGGCUAACUCCGUGCCAGCAGCCGCGGUAAUACGGAGGGUGCGAGCGUUAAUCGGAAUUACUGGGCGUAAAGCGCGCGUAGGUGGCUUGAUAAGCCGGUUGUGAAAGCCCCGGGCUCAACCUGGGAACGGCAUCCGGGACUGUCAAGCUAGAGUGCAGGAGAGGAAGGUAGAAUUCCCGGUGUAGCGGUGAAAUGCGUAGAGAUCGGGAGGAAUACCAGUGGCGAAGGCGGCCUUCUGGACUGACACUGACACUGAGGUGCGAAAGCGUGGGUAGCAAACAGGAUUAGAUACCCAGUAGUC
rnacentral:rRNA from 1 species